ensembl:lncRNA
GGAAGCGUCACUCUUUUCCCCUCGGCUCCUGCUCCAGCGGCACAAUGUGAUCCACCGGCAAGGAGGGAUGCCAAUAAGGCAUCCAAUAAGAUAAGUCUUAUAAAAUAUAUAGGUUUAUGAUAGUUAAGAUUGAACUAGCAGAUGAGAAUCCUAGUCAUUGGCCAAGUAGCUUUGAAUCUAAUACAUGUUUCUGUGUAUUCAUUUGGGCCUAACUCGGGCUGGCGUAAAGCUCACAUGCAGCGGUGGGGCUCAGGCGGCUUUUGGCAGAAAGAUUUAUCAUAACACCAGCCUCUUUUGGUCCCUUUGCUAUCCCAGUUCCUAGGGCUCGCCUGACAUUCAAAAGGUGCUCAGUAAACAUUGAUGCGUGGUUGGCUGAAUUAAUAAUAGAUGGACGUGAGGUUCACUGGCCAUCAGUCCGAGGUGUCAGGGGACAGUGUGACCAGAAGUGGCUGGUGGCCUUUGCAACAGCAGGGGGAUUUGGGAGAGGAUGUCCCAGAGUGCCUCCGUGGCUGUGAGAAAUGGCUGAAGCAUAAGCACAAGGAAGACAUUUUGGGGAACAUCAUCGUUCACCUCGGGAGUGAUGGGUGGUCGGCUGUGUGAAGAUGAAGCUCAGUAUCUCCUUCCCCACCAUCAGAACCACCAGAAACUCAAGCUUUGGACAUUCUGUGAGAAUCGCAUAGCCACAGAGGUAGCUGCUGAUGCUCUGGGGGAAGAGUAGAAGGGUUGUGUGGUCCAAUUCAGUGGCAGGAAUGACAAGGUUUUCACAUAAAGCAAGGUCUUUUGACCCAUGACAGAGAACACCUGCUGUUGAUUAAGGGGCAUUUUUGUUACAGACCAAGGAGAACUGGAGAGAGGAAGCACUGAGGAUACAUCAUGGAUGCCAAUCUGAGUGUUCUCAACUUGGUUAUUAUAAAAAAAAGAGAGAGAGAGAGAGAGAGAGAGAAAGAGAGAGAAGGAUAUUCUGGGACUAACAGAUACUACUGGUUCCUCAUCAGUUGGGACCUAAAAGAGCUAGCAGACUCUGAAAGCUUUUUAAUCUCUCUAAAGAUGAUUUCUACCAAUAUGUGGGAAAGCCUUUAAACAAAAAAGGUAAGAAGUCCAGGACCAAAAUGCCCAAGACUCAGCAUCUUGUUACUUCACGUGUCCUACAACACAAAUGCAGUCGUAUUGCUCGGAAGAAACAACGAACAAAGAAAAACGAGGAGGCUGCAGAAUAUACUAAAAUUUUGGCCAAGAGAAUGAAGCCAAAGAAAAUGCCAGAAACAGAUCACCAAGAGAUGGAGGCUGUCCUUACUGACAGCUUCUACUUCUAAGUCUUAGUCCAGUCAAAAAUAUGCCUUUAAGGGUAACAAAGAAAUAAUCAUACAUUGAAAAAAAAGAGUUGCUGUGGUCAUGGUGUCUCUUCACAGCAAUAAAAAUCCUAAGACAGAAGUCAAAUAGGGACAGGGGCCUGGAUGCCAGCUUUCAGGGGGAUAGCAGUGUUAAUGGGGAGUAAGUUCUGCCUGCCAGACGAAUGGCAAUGGCUUUCUUCCACAGACUUCGAGCUGUGGGGUGGCCUCCUUUGUGGUAAAAUACCCUAAUCAUAUCCCACCCAUCCCAGCCUUUCCCAUAUACGUGUGUGUGUGUGUGUGUGUGUGUGUGUGUGUGUGUGUGUGUGUAUACAUAUAUAUUAACAUCAAACAAGUCUUAUAUCCCUUACAUGUAGACCAAUGCACACCUUGACCCAAAUUCUUCUUCAAUGAAGUAAUGUCUAACACUGCUCUAGUGAGAUGGUAAUGCUGGACUGGAGAAUUGCCUGGGAGUUCAUGGGCAAUCUAGUACACAGCAUAGCAGAAGCAAGAGAGACUCAGCCUCAACAAAGCAGGAGGGGAAAACCAAUUCCCCAAAGUUCCACAUGUACACAGUAGCAUGCAUGUUACACAUGUACACCGUAGCAUGCAUGUUACACAUGUACACAGUAGCAUGCAUGUUACACAUGUACACCACAGCAUGCAUGUUAC